rnacentral:rRNA from 1 species
CGUACCGGGUUGACAGGGGGAAACGUCGAGCGCCCCGCAAGGGGAGCGGCAGACGGGUGAGUAACGCGUGGGACCGUACCUUUUGCUACGGAAUAACUCAGGGAAACUUGUGCUAAUACCGUAUGUGCCCGAAAGGGGAAAGAUUUAUCGGCAAAGGAUCGGCCCGCGUUGGAUUAGCUAGUUGGUGAGGUAAAGGCUCACCAAGGCGACGAUCCAUAGCUGGUCUGAGAGGAUGAUCAGCCACACUGGGACUGAGACACGGCCCAGACUCCUACGGGAGGCAGCAGUGGGGAAUAUUGGACAAUGGGCGCAAGCCUGAUCCAGCCAUGCCGCGUGAGUGAUGAAGGCCCUAGGGUUGUAAAGCUCUUUCACCGGUGAAGAUAAUGACGGUAACCGGAGAAGAAGCCCCGGCUAACUUCGUGCCAGCAGCCGCGGUAAUACGAAGGGGGCUAGCGUUGUUCGGAUUUACUGGGCGUAAAGCGCACGUAGGCGGACUUUUAAGUCAGGGGUGAAAUCCCGGGGCUCAACCCCGGAACUGCCUUUGAUACUGGAAGUCUCGAACAUGGCAGAGGUGAGUGGAGUUCAGAGGG